rnacentral:rRNA from 1 species
AUUGAACGCUGGCGGCAGGCCUAACACAUGCAAGUCGAGCGAGUGGCGAACGGGUGAGUAACGCAUCGGAACGUACCGAGUAAUGGGGGAUAACUGUCCGAAAGGACAGCUAAUACCGCAUAUUAUUCGAGCGGCCGAUGUCUGAUUAGCUGGUUGGCGGGGUAAAGGCCCACCAAGGCGACGAUCAGUAGCGGGUCUGAGAGGAUGAUCCGCCACACUGGGACUGAGACACGGCCCAGACUCCUACGGGAGGCAGCAGUGGGGAAUUUUGGACAAUGGGCGCAAGCCUGAUGCAGCCAUGCCGCGUGUAUGAAGAAGGCCUUCGGGUUGUAAAGUACUUUCAGUCGGGAGGCGUUACCGACAGAAGAAGCACCGGCUAACUCCGUGCCAGCAGCCGCGGUAAUUC